AUGAGACACAUUCAGGACUCCAAUCUUAUACAUAUGAUGAGUUCAAACAGUAAUAUUACCUCUUGCUAGGCCAUGAAAAGAAUUCAGAUCAAAACACUAAGAUCUUUCCUACUUAUAGCUUAUUACAGAAAUUUAGGUGCUUUAGUAUUAAUCACUAGUCUUAGAUCUCUGAUGCUGCUUGCAUUGAGACUAUUUCUCUAAGAGCACCCAGUUAAGUCCAAUCCAAGGACACAACAAACCCAGGAAUGAAACUCUUAAGUUCAUAGGAGGUUUGGACAUAAUUUUCAUCAACAUCAAAUUAUUACUGCAGCAAAUUAGCUUACAAAGAAAUUUAGUAGGCCCUCUAAAGGAAUAUCAAAGAUCCCAGGAAUCAGCUGUACUGCCUACAGGCACUCUGUGCAAGAUAAACUUAAUCAAAGGAUCAAGAUUUGUGCCAAAGCCACAGAGUCCUACCCACCUAACCCAUUUUCCCUUCUCUGGUCCCUAGGGAUGCAUCUCUUAAGACUGAAGUGAGAUCAUUUAAGUUUUAAGGCUUUUUGUAAACUUCAAAGCACUAUAUAAGGUCCUAUACUAUUUAGGGCUAGGAGAUGGGGUGGGGGCACGUGGCAAAAAGUUGUAAAGAGUUGCAAUCAAGGCCAGGUGUCAGGAGAAACUUGCUAGCAAUGAGAGCAGCCCUAAAGUGAGAUGGACUCCCUUGAAGUGAUGCUUGGACCCUCCCUGGUGUUCUUCAGUCAGAGGCUGCAUGACCACUUCUCAGGCCCUAAUGCAAGGUGGAGUAAUCUUGUUAUCCAAGGAAUGACUGGAGAGCUUCCCUGAAGGGAAAGGGCCUCACUGGCUCCACAAACUUCCUAAAGAAAAAAUCCACCCCCAGACACUCUCAGCCUCAGUCUGGCCAGGGUGUGUCCCCCUUUUGAUCCCCAGUACCACCACAAUUACUUCAAGCUGUUCUCCUCAACUAGAAUAUCAUCGUGUUGUCAUCCUAAGUCUUGGAUCACUUCAACUAUCCACUACCUCCACCCCUACACUCCUGUUGAGCAAAGCUGAAGAAAUGGAAAAUGGAGAAAUGGAACAAAUGGACAUUCAGGGAAAUAGAAGACCUACAAACAUUCCUGAUGAAAAGACUAGAGCUGAAUAGAAACUUUGAC